rnacentral:rRNA from 1 species
CAUGCCGUAAACGUUGGGCGCUAGAUGUGGGGACCAUUCCACGGUUUCCGUGUCGUAGCUAACGCAUUAAGCGCCCCGCCUGGGGAGUACGGCCGCAAGGCUAAAACUCAAAGGAAUUGACGGGGGCCCGCACAAGCGGCGGAGCAUGCGGAUUAAUUCGAUGCAACGCGAAGAACCUUACCAAGGCUUGACAUAUACCGGAAACGGCCAGAGAUGGUCGCCCCCUUUGGGUCGGUAUACAGGUGG